rnacentral:tRNA from 1 species
UCCAGGGUAGCCUAGUGGACAUUGUAUCUUCCCUGUAAGAGGAACACUGUGGGUUCGAUUCCCAUCCCUGGAC